GCUGGGCACAGUGGUGUAUGCCUGUAAUCCCAGUAGCUCAGGAGGCUGAGGCAGGAGGAUUGUGAAUUCAGAGCUAACCUCAG
rnacentral:sRNA from 1 species